rnacentral:rRNA from 1 species
GUGAGACAGUUCGGUCCCUAUCUACCGUGGGCGCUGGAAAUUUGAGAGGAUCUGCUCCUAGUACGAGAGGACCAGAGUGGACGAACCUCUGGUGUACCGGUUGUGACGCCAGUCGCAUCGCCGGGUAGCUAUGUUCGGAAGGGAUAACCGCUGAAAGCAUCUAAGCGGGAAGCCUACCUCAAGAUAAGAUUUCCCUAGGACUUUAUGUCCUCUAAAGAGCCGUUCGAGACUAGGACGUUGAUAGGUUGGAUGUGGAAGCAUAGUGAUAUGUGAAGCUGACCAAUACUAAUUGCUCGUGAGGCUUGACUAUACAACACCCAAGCAGUUG